ensembl:lncRNA
GGAUUCUGAGCUUCAAUCUUCUGUCUGCUGCAGCUGAGACUCAUGGGACAUUGAGUUUAUAGCUGCUCAGAGCUGCUCAUGUAGAGAGCGACACCUGCAGGAGGAAACUACAACUACAGCUGCUUUCACUUCACUCAGAACAUCAGGCUUAAAAUGAGCUUAAUCUGAUUUAUCUGAACUUAACUGGUAAUUAAAGACACAUUACUGAUGCUUUUUAGUUAAAAUCAACAAAUUAUUCAUUAAUAAUUAACAAAAAAUUAAGGAUUAUUCAUUAAUUCAUUAGUAACAGUGUUUUUGACCAAGUCAACUAGCUAGAAGUUACCAUGAAUAGUCUAAAAUAAAUAAUUAUCCAUGAUAAUGGAAUCAUGCUGUUAGAUAAAAUGUUAAUUGACAGUGUUUUGACUGCAAAUACAAUUUCAUUUGAAAGUGUUUUAUUUUCAUUUGGCUCAAAGUUAAGCAUAACAAAUUCAGCAAUGACCCCAAUUACAGUUUCUAAAGAAUGGCAUGUUUAUUAAUAUUCUAUAAUGACACACAUAUCUUGUGAAGAAAAAUGCACAAAUGCGGUUAAACUUGUUAAAAUAAAUCUAAAAAACUGAAAAUUCAAGCAAAACCACAGCCAGAAAACACCAGACGCUGCUAAACUGAGACACGGAUGAAGAGCUUCAAACAGAUAAAACAUCUAAACAGACACUGAAAAUAAAGAGAAAUCAACCAAAUCAAGAAUAAAGUAAAAGAGCAAGAGCAGAAAUGUGAAAAUAAACACACAGAAUGAGUUCACGAUCUGACAGAUCUGAUUCAGAGAAAUAAAAGAGUUUGAUCACAGAUGAACAGAAGGAGUUUCAUAUAAUGACAUAAAAAUACUGCUAGUUCAUUCAAAGAGGAAAGACACAUGAAUAAAAUAAGCAAUAAAACUAUUACAAAACACAGCUGUCCAGAAAAUAAUCUUCAUAACUAAAACUGUAGAAAAUCUGGUUAAUUCAUAUCUCCUGGUUUAAUGAAUCUCUUGGUUUUAUAUAAGAUCUGUUGUUGACAGGUGAAAGCUGGACUGAUUCUGAACUCAUUUCUCACAGAUGUGAAGAUCUGCUGCUGCUCUCAUGAAUCUUCUGCUGUGUGUUCAUGUCUCUCUCUAAAUCUUCUCAUUCUCAC